CCUACGGGGGGCAGCAGUAGGGAAUAUUGCUCAAUGGGGGAAACCCUGAAGCAGCAACGCCGCGUGGAGGAUGAAGGUUUUCGGAUUGUAAACUCCUUUUGUUAGAGAAGAUAAUGACGGUAUCUAACGAAUAAGCACCGGCUAACUCCGUGCCAGCAGCCGCGGUAAUACGGAGGGUGCAAGCGUUACUCGGAAUCACUGGGCGUAAAGGGCGCGUAGGCGGGAUAGCAAGUCAGAUGUGAAAUCCUAUGGCUUAACCAUAGAACUGCAUUUGAAACUGUUAUUCUAGAGUAUGGGAGAGGUAGGUGGAAUUCUUGGGGUAGGGGUAAAAUCCGUAGAGAUCAAGAGGAAUACUCAUUGCGAAGGCGACCUGCUAGAACAUAACUGACGCUGAUGCGCGAAAGCGUGGGGAGCAAACAGGAUUAGAUACCCGGGUAGUC
rnacentral:rRNA from 1 species